rnacentral:rRNA from 1 species
GGGGAAUUUUCCGCAAUGGGCGCAAGCCUGACGGAGCAAUACCGCGUGAGGGAAGAAGGCUCUUGGGUUGUAAACCUCUUUUCUCAGGGAAGAAGUCCUGACGGUACCUGAGGAAUCAGCAUCGGCUAACUCCGUGCCAGCAGCCGCGGUAAUACGGAGGAUGCAAGCGUUAUCCGGAAUUAUUGGGCGUAAAGAGUCCGUAGGUGGUCAAAUAAGUCUGCUGUCAAAGACCGGGGCUUAACUCCGGAAAGGCAGUGGAAACUGUGUGACUGGAGACCGGGAGGGGUAGAGGGAAUUCCCAGUGUAGCGGUGAAAUGCGUAGAGAUUGGGAAGAACACCGGUGGCGAAGGCGCUCUACUGGACCGGAACUGACACUGAGGGACGAAAGCUAGGGGAGCGAAAGGGAUUAGAUACCCCUGUAGUC